GGAGCUGGGGUCCUGCCCUGGUGGGGAGGUCAUGUCCAGGGACCUGUGACAUCAGGACCAGGAAGGGAGCUGGCAUCUUGCCAGGGGCGGGGGGCAGGGUUUCUGUCCAGAGUCUGUGACUGGGAAGCAGGGAGGAGGCUCACUGGGGUCUUAAGGCUGGUGGGCGCGUGGAGAGAUAGACAUGGUGUGAGGAGCUCUUCUGUGGACGCAAACACCUGUGGGGUAAUAACAUAAGAAAGCUUUAAAUAGAGAUACUGGGAACGAUUAACUGUGUCAGAAUCACAAAGUUCUGCUGCUUUACAGAUUAAUUGUAGAGACAUUAUGCCGAUGCUUUAAAAGGCAGAAAGAACCUGGAUGCAGAAUGGAGGGUCACAGCAGGAUCGUGGCCAAUGACACUUCCUGCCCAGGAAGUGUCCACAGGAGGAGUCUUUGAAGACUAGCAAGAAAAUGCAGGGCACCUUCCUGGAUGCAUCAACCUUGACCUCAGUGGUCUAUAAUAGCCCUGCAGUCCAGAGGUCCCGCUACUAGAAAUUCUAAGUGUUGGAGACAAAAGUGAAAUGCCAAGGGGGAAUGCUGUCUCCUCUGGGAAAGCAAAAUAUUUACCUGAGAAAGAAAAUCUCCUAAAAGCUUUCUAUACCAUCCAUCCAUCCAUCCAACCAUCCAUCCAUCUAUCCAUCUAUCCAUCUUCCCUUCCCUUCCCUUCCUUUCCCUUCCCUUCCCUUCCCUUUCCUUUCCUUCCUUUUUCUUGUCUUCUUAUGGAGUAUGUCUGCUGAGAGGAUCAGAUUACAUGGAAUCAGAUUAAUUGUAGAUUUCUACAUGUGAUACAAUCCAGUAUAUUGGCCACGAUUGGCUAUGAAACCAGUAGCACAAAAUGGCAGAGUUUCCCAGGAUGGCCAAGACUGGCCUGGAAAAUCUGGGCAAGUGUGUUCUCUGAGACCAAUUCCAUAUAUUCAGGCUCCGUUUUGUAUUAGUUUCUUGAAUUCAAAUAAAGAAUCCAAUGUUGCUUUAAGAAAUAAUUUUGGCAAAAUCAAAUACAAAAUACAUUGUAUGAGGAUGGAGUCACAUCACAGUGAAAGAAAAAAAUACUUGAUUACAUAGAAUUAUUAAUUGGAAAACUAGGAGAAAAGUGUUGAUCAUGAGUUCGAUGUAAAACUGUGCUAGAAAUGUUUAUCAAGACCUACUAUUUGUAAAACACAUUGCUAUGGAGUUAGGCCUCUGUUAGCAGAGUUUAAAUUCAGUUUUUCUUUCAAAGAAUAUCAUUAGCUGGCAGGACAAACAGGGAAACAGGGUUAAAGAAACUUUAAAGAUGUUUCCUAGCCAUGUUCCCAUCAAUACGUUUGCUCAAGUCUAACAGCUGUUAUUCCCGAUAGCUACUGAAUGCAGACAGCAUGGUUAAAUGCCUAGACAUUCUUUGUGGAGUACAGUCAUAAAUUCACAGUUGUCGGUGCUCCAACUGUUGGAACUAAGAGUGACUAAGAAUUAAAACUGGGAAUCCCGGAAGUCCUGACCAGAGAAAUCAGGCAAGAGAGAGAAAUAAAAGGCAUCCUAGCAGGGAAAGGGGGAAGUCAAAUUAUCUGUUCUCACUAAUGCGAUUUGAUACCUGGAAAACCCCAAAGACUCUGUCAAAAGGCUCCAGAACUCAUACAUGACCUCAGUAAAAAGUUUCAGGAUACAAAGUCAAUAUACAAAAUUCAGUAGCAUUUCCAAUAACAUUUGAACUGAGAGCAAAUCAAGAACAUAAUCCCAUUCACAAUAGCCACAAGAAAUAAAAUACCGAGGAAUACAUCUGACCAAGGAGGUGAAGGAUCUCUACAAAGAUAACUACAAAACGCUGCUGAAGGAAAUCAUAGAUAACACAAACAAAUAUGCUUAUGGCUUGGAAGAAUCAGCAUCAUUAAAAUGGCACGAUGCCCAAAGCAAUGUGCAGAUUCAACACCAUUCCUAUCAAACUAGCAAUGUCAUUUUUCACAGAAUUAGAAAAAAAAAACUAUUCUAGAAUUCACGUGGAACAAAAAA